UACGUAGGGUGCAAGCGUUGUCCGGAAUUAUUGGGCGUAAAGAGCUCGUAGGCGGUUUGUCACGUCGACUGUGAAAACCCGGGGCUCAACUCCGGGCCUGCAGUCGAUACGGGCUGGCUUGAGUGCGGUAGGGGAGACUGGAAUUCCUGGUGUAGCGGUGAAAUGCGCAGAUAUCAGGAGGAACACCGGUGGCGAAAGCGGCUCUCUGGACCGGAACUGACGCUGAGACGCGAAAGCGUGGGGAGCGAACAGG
rnacentral:rRNA from 1 species